ACCUCCAAUAGGCACCAAACUGCCAUAAUUAAGUUGCUGUUAUCCAAAAACCCUCCUUCCUGCCUAAUCUUCUUUGUCUCUUUUGUUCAGGAAGCUUUCAGGUGUUAUACCUACCAUAAUCUAUCUCGUCCAGUCAAAUCUCACUGUCGCCACCAUCUCCAAUAAGCCCUCUUCCCUUUCUUUUCUUCUUGGUCCAAGGUGUUGCCACCAUGGCACAAGAGAGAGUG
rnacentral:lncRNA from 1 species